rnacentral:lncRNA from 1 species
GCGACGGGGCCGCCUCCUCCUCCUCCCCCUCCUCCUCCACCACCUUCUCGCCCUCGCUCUAGUCCACGGCCACGGCCUCGUCGCCCCGCGGGAGGCCCCGCAGCCGGAUUUUUAGAUCCCUAGAAACCGUGGUGCUUCUGGAAAGCCUUUGAUUCUGAGCUCACCAAAAGACUCCAGAUUCACAAUUUAUGUUUCUUAAGCUCUGCAAGUAAGUGAUGUGACUGUGGAACUAAGUCUUUGACUUUUCCCAAGGGUAGAAUCUGCUUGUUUAGAGAAUUGUAGAGGUGGAAGAAAAAUUGUGAAUUGGUACUAUGAGGUACUAAUGUUUACUAGCUAAUACUCUGCCUUAGAGAAAUCAACU